rfam:Ixodes scapularis strain Wikel colony gcontig_1107729056054, whole genome shotgun sequence.
GCUUGGAUAGUUUAGACGGUAGAGCACGAGACUCUUAAUUUCGGGGUCCUGGGUUCGAGCCCCACGAUGGGCG